rnacentral:lncRNA from 1 species
UCACAGUCUUCUACCUGAUCGUCUUCUUCUUCCUGAUCCCGCUGACGGUGUUCGGCCUCUCGCUGGCCCGCUGGCCGGUGCUCGUGGGCGUCGGUGUGCCCGUCCUCUUGAUCGUUAUCCUGGUACUGUGCCUCCGCCUGCUGCAGUCCCGCUGCCCACGCAUCCUGCCCAAGAUACUCCAGAACUGGAACUGCCUGCCGCUGUGGAUGCGCUCGCUGAAGCCCUGGGACGCCGUGGUCUCCAAGCUGGCCGGCUGCUUCCAGCUGCGCUGUUGCUGCUGCUGCCGCCUGUGCUGCCUACUUUGUGGCUGCAAGUGCUGCCGCUGCAAUGGGCUUUGAUUAGCUGCCAUCUCCAUGCCUGCAAAGCUCCAGACUUUUCUCAGGGUGGGGAAAUCUGCACCCAGUUGGACUGCCCGGUGAAGUGAGAUCAUUGAAUACAGUCGAGUGCACGUGUGUCUGGAUCAAAGAAUCUUGUGGAUAAGAGACCGGGAGCAGAGACAGGCCCAGCAGCCAGCCAGCACUGUCACCAGACACGUGAAUGAAGCUACCUUAGAGCAUCCAGCCAGCAUCCUGCCUGACUGGUGGGACCAGCAGAACAGCCCAAAAAACCCCAUCCCUGAUUGCUGACAAUGGGGUACACAAAUAAAAUGGUGAUUAAAAAUAAAGGCAUUACAAUUUUGAGGUUGUUUGUUACACAGCACAAGAUAACUGAUACAGAAUUCAACACUCUGAAGUGUAGACUGUGGUUUCGGUCUGACG